rnacentral:rRNA from 1 species
UCCAGAUCGAUGAAGAACGCAGCGAAAUGCGAUAAGUAAUGUGAAUUGCAGAUUUUCAGUGAAUCAUCGAAUCUUUGAACGCACCUUGCGCUCCUUGGUAUUCCGAGGAGCAUGCCUGUUUGAGUGUCAUUAAAUUCUCAACUCCAAGGGUUUCACGACCUUUCGGAGAUUGGACUUGGAGGUGCUGGCCGCAUAUUGGUCGGCUCCUCUCAAAUGCAUCAGCGGAAUUCAACCUUUGGCUUCCGGAUGUCAGUGUGAUAAUCAUGUUGCGCUGUCGUUUGAUCCCUCAGAGUCCGCUUAUAAUGGUCUUCGGACAAAAUCAUCAUCAAAUUUGACCUCAAAUCAGGUAGGACUACCCGCUGAACUUAA